UUCGUUCCCUUCAUUCCUUCUCUGUUUCUCAUUUAUAUCUAUUCCUUCUCACCGCUAAGAGCCGCUGUUUUUACCACGUUCAACCUCCGAUGUCCAUAUCCUUUCAACGAUUGAAGCUCCACAUAUCCUAUUUUGAGGGAACUCUGAUCUCUCUCGUCUGAUUUCCUACUAUUCCCCAAAUCCCGUAAUCCUUUUUUUUCUUCACGAGAUAUAUGCCAUCAGAUGGAGUUCUAUUGGACUUCGGAUAAACAAUCCUAACCGCCUGUUAAUUCUUGCUAGGUUAACCAACUUGACUCAGCAAUCUCGAAAAAGAUAGCCAAGCUACUCGUUGUGCCUUUCGACUAUAGAGUCCUUAUCAGUUGCUUUCCGUGGACAUGAUCUUGUUGUUGAUUCAACAUUGGAACUUAACUAUGGCAGGCGCUAUGGUUUUCCUGGAUUGAACGAAUGUGGGAAAUCCACACUGUUGACUGCAAUAGGAUUGCGUGAACUUCCAAUUCUGGAUUGACACAGUUCAACA